UCUCGAUAGCGUAAAAGUUAACUCAAAUUUGUAUGGAGUUGGAUCGUUUGUCUACGUUUGCCGCUAGGGGCGCUGUUCCAACUCCAUACAAAUUUGAGUUAGCUUGUACGCUAUCGA
rnacentral:pre_miRNA from 9 species